UUCCACCCAGUGAAAAGUCGCCGACUGUGGCGGCCUGCCUGAAGAGUCAUCUUCAGGCUAGCUGGGUGGUUUUAC
rnacentral:ncRNA from 1 species